rnacentral:tRNA from 1 species
CCCAGACUAGCUCAGUUGGUAGAGCAUGAGCCUCAUAAUCUCAGGGUAGGUUCAUGUCCCACGUCGGGCG